UACGGAGGGUGCGAGCGUUGUCCGGAAUCACUGGGCGUAAAGGGCGCGUAGGUGGCGACCCAAGUCAACGGUGAAAGCUCGACGCUCAACGUCGAGUCGGCCGUCGAUACUGGGUUGCUCGAGCACUGUAGAGGCAGAUGGAAUUCCGGGUGUAGCGGUGGAAUGCGUAGAGAUCCGGAAGAACACCGGUGGCGAAGGCGGUCUGCUGGGCAGUAGCUGACACUGAGGCGCGACAGCGCGGGGAGCAAACAGG
rnacentral:rRNA from 1 species